rnacentral:rRNA from 1 species
UACGUAGGGGCCUAGCGUUGUCCGGAAUUAUUGGGCGUAAAGAGCUCGUAGGCGGUUCGGCAAGUCGAUGUGAAAUCUCCACGCUCACGUGAGGGCCAUUCGAAACUGCCGUGACUCGAGUCCGUAGGGAGUGUGAAUUCCGGUGUAGCGGUGAAAAUGCGCAGAUAUCGGAGACACAGUAGCGAAGCGCACUCUGGGCCGGUACUGAC